GAUGAACGCUAGCUACAGGCUUAACACAUGCAAGUCGAGGGGAAACGACAUCGAAAGCUUGCUUUUGAUGGGCGUCGACCGGCGCACGGGUGAGUAACGCGUAUCCAACCUGCCCACCACUUGGGGAUAACCUUGCGAAAGUAAGACUAAUACCCAAUGACGUCUCUAGAAGACAUCUGAAAGAGAUUAAAGAUUUAUCGGUGAUGGAUGGGGAUGCGUCUGAUUAGCUUGUUGGCGGGGUAACGGCCCACCAAGGCGACGAUCAGUAGGGGUUCUGAGAGGAAGGUCCCCCACAUUGGAACUGAGACACGGUCCAAACUCCUACGGGAGGCAGCAGUGAGGAAGAUUGGUCAAUGGACGAGAGUCUGAACCAGCCAAGUAGCGUGCAGGAUGACGGCCCUAUGGGUUGUAAACUGCUUUUAGAAGGGAAUAAAGUGAGUCUCGUGAGACUUUUUGCAUGUACCUUAUGAAUAAGGACCGGCUAAUUCCGUG
rnacentral:rRNA from 1 species